UGUGGCCGUAAAGAGGCCGGGCCUUGUCGUGAAAGUGCCGCAAACACGCCCACCCCGGUGAUGGCUGCAAGUACCCCCGCAGUGGCCCGAGUAAACAGCUUCCGCUUCCGGGGUGGUGGUCUUAUUGUAGGGGUGAAGGCGAAGCCUCAGUCCUACUGUGUCAUAAAUUGGGCAGUGGGAGCAAAGUUGAGGUCAAGAGGAAAAUGAGUGCGUGCUACCUUGGCUAGGUGUUCAUGAUUUUUGAGGCUUCCCCCAACCUCCGCUGGUCAUUAGAGAAAAAUUAGAAUAACUUCAGGUUCGUCUUUGGAAAACUGAAAAGCCCCUUCCAAAGGGACAGCUGCUGGAGGUAGAGCCGCCUAGGCGCUAAGGAGGGUGGUGCUGGGGAGACCAAAGAAAAUCUGGCCCAUGGAGCAGAAUAGGGGAGGGUGAGAACACAGGGAAAGAAACGGAGAAGUGUGAAGCUGUAGGCCUUUGCCGGAAAUGCCCAGGUUCUUCUAGAAGACAGAUGCGUCGGAGGACCUAGUCUGAAAGAAGUGACAUUCUUGUGGUCUACAGGGCCCAGCUGCGUGGUUCUACAUGUCUAGAUGUUGCCGUGAAGACAUUGCUUACUGGACUCAGUGAGGCAGAGGACCCACCAUUCUGCAGGUGGGCUUCACCCCAACAAUUGACAUCCUCCAGAGAAAAGACCAAGGUUUCCAGGAGAGAGAGGAAGUCUACUCAAGACUAUGACAGACACCCUGCUUGUUUCUGGGUAGCCUGCAGAAUGCGGACUCGAGACUGUGACAUUAGUGCUUAUUCCAAUCUCGUCACUGGCCUACUCUGUGAUUUUGGACUUGCCACAUCCCCACAGUUGUAUUUCAUUUUGAGUCCAGAGAGAACUGGGCUCACAGAGGUCCCCAGCCAGCACAUGGCAACUGUGGACUUGAAACUGCUGCCACCAGGAGCCAGGGCUCCCCAGGCUUCCUUCCGAGACUCACAGGUAAAUACAGUGCUCCUGAGCAGGCUUAGAAAACCCAGCAAGACUAGAAGGCACACAUCAAGACUGAGAAGCUUGCCUUCCCCAGGCCCCCCGUUUCCCAUUCCAAGGGAAGCACUAACAGUUGCUUGUGAUUCCUUCCAGAAAAAUGUCCAUGUACCCCCAGCUUCUAGGAACCAGCAUCGCACGAGGCAUUCAGUGACACCAUUUUUAGGCUCAUAAGCACCACCCUCCAUCGUUGGCCUUGAUCUGCACCUUGUAUUUCCACCUAGCCCCUCCCAGCAAGUGCUCAGUGGCUUGAUCCUCUUGGCCUCCCGGGUCUCCACCCAUCCUUCCAGCCUCCCCCAGGGCCUCCUUUCCAAUGACACUGGAUCCACAGCACUGCCCCAGCAGUGGCUUGGAAGGUCAAUAUGACUGGGGUAGGGAGCCCAACCAAGGGAAAGGUCCUGGUGGUGCCAGGACAGGGAUGGAGGUAUCCGAAGCCAAGACUGAAGGGGUCAUGGUCAUGGUGAGGGCCAGCAUCCGGUCAGAUUCUGCAAGCCACGACAUGUUUGUGAAACUCCCCAUGCCUGGGUGAGGAAAGCCAGCAACGUUUCCCCAGGCACACGGCUGUCCGGAUCUAAACAGACCAACCGUUUCCUUCUUCCCACACUUGCCAUCCUCCACCCUGGUGCUCCAGCCACAAAUGCCUUGGCCUUUCACAUUCAACGCUUUUUCUAAUCAUCCGUCUUUCCUCUGUUAACCUGCCACUGGGUGAAUGUGUGAGUGGACUGAGGCUGAGCAGCUGUGAGACCUCAUGGUCUGCCAAGCACAGCUGAAACCGAACGCUACCCUAAGCUUCUGUGGGCAGAAGGAACAGAAGGGAUCUGUUGACACCCUCUACACAGAUAUGCUCUGCAGCGACCUCUGUUGGUUACAGGGCUGACCGGCCUGCACAUCUCACCAGCCCAAGGCACCUGCUGGGUAGCAUUUGGGGCAGGGCAGGUCAAGCCUGAGCCUCCUGAAAGAUGAGGCCUCUGGACUGUCAGGAGAGGGCUGCCCAGGGGCUGGGGGUAGCAGAGCGGUGGUGAGCUCGCCGGCAUCACCAGCAGAACUCCUUCAAAGUGCUCCCCAUUCUCCCUCACCAUCUUUACUCCUUUUAGGUAACGGAGUGCCCCAGUCAGAAGCAUCAACAUGGGCAAAGGCCCUGGGGCCAGCACGUGCUUGUCAUGGCUAGGGAACAGCAGAACAGCCUACCUGGCUGGAGCAGUGAAGCAGCCUAACAACCAGGAGCUAGAGGUGGGAAACUGCAGAAACUGAAGGUCAGAGGUGGGAAACUACAGAAGUCUGCCCAUCUUGUCCUUUGCAGUCUGUGGUCCUGACUUGGGAUUUGGUUUAAGGGAUAACUGAAUUCUCAGACAGAUGCCAGAAAGUUACUAAGGGAGAAUACCAAGGGGAAAAUGGACAGCCGGUCAUUGGAGAGUCCAACAAGCCUGCUCCAGCUGACGGCUCGAGCAUGACAGAGGACUGCUUCGUCAGGCAGGCAUAUUCUACGGGAGCACAUUAAGGAACUUCUCUGACCUUCUCGGAGUCACAGGGCGUACCAUGCAGUUCAAUCCAUGUGGGUUAGAGUGUGGGACUCAUGGGACACUGAGUGAUCAGACCAUAUACCCCGACCCCUCAGGAUGCCUCUGACUGCCCAGGAACUGCAUCAUGGGUGUCACCAGAUGACCAUGCGGGAGUACCAAAGGUGGAUUUCAUCUGCUCAGUACCUUUUGCAGCUGGGGAAUGUGUCUCAGGGCCUGUCUGGAACCCAGCCACUGUCUGCUGUCUAAACAGACUUAGUCCUAAUGCAGGACUCACGUGAAAGUCCCAGGGUAGCUGGGCCUCUCCUUAAAUUCCCAAAGCCUAGGAAGAGGCCGGACACACCUGUCUUCAAAGCUCUGCCUCGAGGGCCAGCACUGAAAUUGUCCACUGGCUGAGUGGUUUACUUGACAUGAACUGGAGACAACUGGAACGUCAAGCCCCAAGGAAGCUCAGAGAAGAGAGUGCAAAACCAUCAUCUUCUGGUGGCCCAGAGUCACAGAGCCAGCUCCUCCUCCAGAGCGAGUUCCUGGGGGUUUUGCAGCCCCUGCAUCCUCACCUGAACAAGGAGGACAAUAAAAUGACCUCUCAAAUUUCUGAAAAUUAGAUAAUGUGUAUGUUCAGUACCAAACCCCAAGUAGCUUCUAAUAGACUUUUGUUUUCUCAUUCCAGACGUCCAAUGUGCUGCCUGCCCCUGGACAGGAGCUGUAGGAACAUGGCUGUGGGCCGACAGCACAGAUGGGACACUUUCGGGUCCUUGAGUGAUUUUAGAAUUGGAUCUGUUCCACCCCAUUUGCAUCCCAGAGACUGACUUUAUUCCUCAGGAGUUUGAUGCAAGCAAAGAUAAUACUAACCACUGCCAGUUAGAAAGGGAAAUGGAUUUUAAGAUGUAAAUAAAAGGAUGUUUGCCUUAACAAAGACCUCACAUUCAAAAACUGGGGACUCCCAAGAAUCCACCCCCCAUUUUCACCACUACCCCUCUCCAUUUGACACUGCUGCUGUCACCCAUGGUCCAGCCUGCGGGGACAGCCAGGACAGGGGCCUCAGAAACUGCGGCUCCUAUGGAAGGGGUGUGCAGUCCUCAGCCCCAGCAAUCCCAGCUCUGUGCAGCUGCACCCACGGUGCUCCUGGCAUCAUUAAUUGGUUAAGCCAGAGCACAACAUACAGUUGUCCUUCUAAUAAAGGACUCCAGACUUGGGGGGCUGGUCCCACAGGCCAUUGGCUGUUGCAAUUCCAACGGUGACAAACAUCAUGAGCAACCAAAUGAAGCAGAGGCAGGGAGGUAGGCCAGGUCCUCUGUUCUCCCCUGCACAAUCAUGGAGGUGGGAUCUCUACCCUCGCCUCACAGGCCUUGCCUCGUCCACCUUCCACAACCACACGCGAGUUUCCUAAACCACAGUGUUGUUGACCUGCUCAAGCCUUUCCAGCUAACCACCACUACCUCAGAGGCCUGUCCUACUUGAAUCGUGGUACCUUGACCAGCACAGGCAUCAUGUGGGCGCUUGUAAGAAAUACAUGACAUUAGGUCCUUUACAGGACUAGAAGCUGCAUUUUGAAAUGACCCCGGAGUUUCAGAGGCACUUUACAUUUGAACAGUGCUGCUUUAGGGGCUCGGUACAGAGCCAGAAGCAGCCCCAACUGUUGAGACUUUUUUUAGCGAGUGGUAGGUCAUUUCAAAAACUUAAAAAUAUAUUUUUUCUUGUCACACAUUCAAAAACAUUUGACUAUUCAGAAUAUACCAGUAUAUCUCCUGGUAUGAAGAACUGAGAGCACAUCCAGGUGCAGCCCAGAGCACGAAGACCCCAGGUGGAGAAGCAGGGAAACACAGGAUCAAGUUUAAACUCUUCCAAGUCACACGCAGAUGGCUACAAGCAUGCCUCCUACCUCCCGCUCCCUGCAAAACCCCACAACUCUCCUCUAUCAUGUCACAUUUCUACCUACUGACAGGCUCCCAGGGUGGGUUCCAGAACACUUGUUCCCUGUGCCUGGGGUGCUGUUCAGGGCUGAGCUCACAGUUCUGGGUCCAGACCAGGAGGCACUGGGUCUGAAGAGCUUUCUCACACCCCCAAUGCUCAGUGGACUCCCUCUUCAGCGCUCCCACCACAGUAAAAACACAGGGUACAACAUCUCCUGGGCCACCUGCAGCAGGCCUGGGACCACAAACCAUAUCAUUACUAGGGCCACCUUUCACUUUCAAAACUGCCCCAGGGGAUCCCUGGGUGGCGCAGCGGUUUGGCGCCUGCC